UGUUAACAUCUAAUUGUGUUGUUAAAAAUUGACGUGGCUAAUGAAAUGAUUAGAUAGUGAUAAGUAUCGUGUCACCUAUAUUUUAUGUUGACAUGUAAAGACCAAUUUUUAACAGUAGAAUUGAAUGAAAUUUUAAACA
rfam:Gossypium raimondii Chr13_contig_1351, whole genome shotgun sequence.